AACGAAAGCUGGCGGCAUGCCUAACACAUGCAAGUAGAACGAAGCCUUCGGGCUCAGUGGCGCACGGGUGCGUAACGCGUGGACAUCUGCCCUUGGGUUCGGAAUAACAGUUAGAACUGACUGCUAAUACCGGUUGAUGCCCUAAGUCCAAAGAUUUAUCGCCCAAGGAUGAGCCCGCGUAGGAUGAGGUAGUUGGUGGGUUACAGGCUCACCAAGCCGACGAUCCUUAGCUGGUCUGAGAGGAUGAUCAGCCACACUGGGCCUGGGACACGGCCCAGACUCCUACGAGAGGCAGCAGUGGGGAAUAUUGGACAAUGGGCAAAAGCCUGAUCCAGCAAUGCCGCGUGAGUAAUGAAGGCCUUAGGGUUGUAAAGCUCUGUUACCCGGGAUGAUAAUGACAGUACCGGGAGAAUAAGCUCCGGCUAACUCCGCGCCAGCAGCCGCAGUAA
rnacentral:rRNA from 1 species